AACGCAUAUUGCACUCUCUGGUAUUCCGGAGAGUAUGCCUGUUUCAGUAUCAUUAAAUACUCUCAAGUAUCUAGAAAUUUAUUUCUAGGUAUUUUGGAUUUGAGCUUUUGUUGGAAUAAUAUUUCCAACUGGCUUUAAUUAUAAGCGAAUAUUUUUCUUAGUCUUUUUUAUUAUUAGAAAUUUAAAAAAUCCUAUUUAAAAUUUUAUUUAAAAAGAAAGCGUUAAUAGUUUGACUUUUUAAAAGUCAAUCUUUCGCUGGAUUUUUAUUUAAUAAUUUUGUUUAGGUUCUUUUUUCUAUAGAAUUGAAUGAGGAUUUUAAUUCAGAAAUGCAGGAAAUGAAAUAUUUUUCUUUAAGAAAAAUUUCUUCAUAAAUUUGAUCUGAAAUCAGGUAGGAUUACCCGCUGAACUUAA
rnacentral:misc_RNA from 1 species